rnacentral:piRNA from 1 species
GGAUGGCUACGACCCCCAGACUGGCAC